rnacentral:lncRNA from 1 species
UUAAAAAGAAAAAAAAACGAAAUCGGGAAAGAAAGAAUUUAUGAUAACUCAAAGGGAAGCUCCUUACUUUUCGAAGCGAGAUCAGAAUGCCUUAGAAUGCGUAGUUAUAAUGCGAGGUACACCAAGGACGAAGCCGCAUGUGCUUGCUGUGGUAAAGCUAGAGAAACGGUGGAACAUGUUUUAUU